GCAAUAGAAAUAGUGGUUUUGUGUGAGUUAUCAAUCUGUGGUUAAGAGCAUUAUUCGGAAUGAUAGGGCAUAAAACGAAGAACUUAUGAAUUUAUGAAUUACUUUUUAAACCCGCCAUGGAUGAGGAAGAACUUAUGAAUUUAAGUGCUUCAGAUUAUCCAUUGAUGACACAAGAUGAUUUGUUUCAUGUGUUCUCUAACAUAACUUGCUUAGACAACUCAAAGAUGCUCACUUCCAACAUCCUUCAAGUUGUUUACAGGGAGGAGCUAUCUCUAAACAAAUGACUGCAAGAGAAGAAAUGGUUGCAAGUGAGUACAAUUAGCGAGACCCUCAUCUUUGUGACAAGAUAUUGAAGAUGGUCAUUUGUGAAGCGUUCUAGUUUGCUAUUAGUUGUAGUUUUAGUUAUUGCUCUCUCAAUAUAUUCUUUUUCUUUCUUUCUUUCUUUUUU